GAUGAACGCUGGCGGCGUGCCUAAUACAUGCAAGUCGAGCGAACGGACGAGAGGCUUGCUUCUCUGAUGUUAGCGGCGGACGGGUGAGUAACACGUGGAUAACCUACCUAUAAGACUGGGAUAACUUCGGGAAACCGGAGCUAAUACCGGAUAAUAUUUUGAACCGCAUGGUUCAAUAGUGAAAGACGGUCUUGCUGUCACUUAUAGAUGGAUCCGCGCUGCAUUAGCUAGUUGGUAAGGUAACGGCUUACCAAGGCAACGAUGCAUAGCCGACCUGAGAGGGUGAUCGGCCACACUGGAACUGAGACACGGUCCAGACUCCUACGGGAGGCAGCAGUAGGGAAUCUUCCGCAAUGGGCGAAAGCCUGACGGAGCAACGCCGCGUGAGUGAUGAAGGUCUUCGGAUCGUAAAACUCUGUUAUUAGGGAAGAACAUAUGUGUAAGUAACUGUGCACAUCUUGACGGUACCUAAUCAGAAAGCCACGGCUAACUACGUG
rnacentral:rRNA from 1 species